rnacentral:rRNA from 1 species
AGGACGAACGCUGGCGGCGUGCUUAACACAUGCAAGUCGAGCGGUAAGGCCUUUCGGGGUACACGAGCGGCGAACGGGUGAGUAACACGUGGGUGAUCUGCCUUGCACUCUGGGAUAAGCCUGGGAAACUGGGUCUAAUACCGGAUAUGACCUGCUCUCGCAGUGGGGGGUUGGGUGGAAAAGAUUUAGUCGGUGACGAGGAGUCGGGGCCCGGCGGCCUAUCAGUCUUGGUUGGGUAGGGUAAUGGCCUACCGAAGGCGACGACGGGUACGCCGGACCUGGAGGAGGGUCGGACCGGACCGACACGUGGGACGUGAAGACGACCGGACCGACGACCUCCGUA